GAUGAACGCUGGCGGCGUGCCUAAUACAUGCAAGUCGAGCGAACAGACGAGGAGCUUGCUCCUCUGACGUUAGCGGCGGACGGGUGAGUAACACGUGGAUAACCUACCUAUAAGACUGGGAUAACUUCGGGAAACCGGAGCUAAUACCGGAUAAUAUAUUGAACCGCAUGGUUCAAUAGUGAAAGACGGUUUUGCUGUCACUUAUAGAUGGAUCCGCGCCGCAUUAGCUAGUUGGUAAGGUAACGGCUUACCAAGGCAACGAUGCGUAGCCGACCUGAGAGGGUGAUCGGCCACACUGGAACUGAGACACGGUCCAGACUCCUACGGGAGGCAGCAGUAGGGAAUCUUCCGCAAUGGGCGAAAGCUUGACGGAGCAACGCCGCGUGAGUGAUCAAGGUCUUCGGAUCGUAAAACUCUGUUAUUAGGGAAGAACAAAUGUGUAAGUAACUAUGCACGUCUUGACGGUACCUAAUCAGAAAGCCACGGCUAACUACGUG
rnacentral:rRNA from 1 species